rnacentral:sRNA from 1 species
GGAGUCUCUGGUAUAAUUGGUCUGGGGUGCAGACUGGGAAUCGGGAUAUUUAAAAGCUCCCUGGUGAUUAUAGUGUGCAGCAGAAUGUGAGAACCACACCUUGAAACCAUUGUGCCGUGGCCCUACCAAAUGGAUGAGUCAGCAGAUUAAAUCUUCCCCAAAACAUGACAGGCAUUGACAUAUAACAUUUAUUAUUUCUUUUGAUUAUUUUUUCCUGACAGACAGGUGACCAUCUGGCACUCUUUUACAGCUAGGAAACCAAGUUCCAUAGGGUACCAGCUUGCUCAGGGUCAAGAUUCACAUUAGCAUUUAUAGCCAUGGAUGUUGAUUAGCUGUUUGUCACUCCCUGUGUUCAUCUGCCUCCCCAAAGAGGAAGAACCAAGAAGAAACUCUUACUGCUCUCAGGAUGACUGGCCCCCUCCCACCACCUCCUCCAGUAAGCAGAAACGGCAGCACAUCUCGGGCCCUGCCUGCCACCCCUCAGUUGCCAUCCAGGAGUGGAGUAGACAGUCCCAGGAGUGGACCCAGGCCUCCCCUUCCUCCUGACAGGCCCAGUGCUGGGGCACCUCCCCCACCUCCACCAUCAACAUCUAUUAGAAAUGGCUUCCAAGACUCUCCAUGUGAAGAUGAGUGGGAAAGCAGAUUCUACUUCCAUCCGAUUUCCGAUUUGCCACCUCCAGAGCCAUAUGUACAAACGACCAAAAGUUAUCCCAGCAAAUUGGCAAGAAACGAA